rnacentral:tRNA from 1 species
GGGGUUGUGGCUCAGUGGUUGGGCACUUGCCUAGCAUGCAUGAGGCACUGGGUUCAAUCCCCAGCACCA